rnacentral:tRNA from 2 species
GGGGCUGUAGCUCAGUUGGGAGAGCGCUUGAAUGGCAUUCAAGAGGUCGUCGGUUCAAUUCCGUCCAGCUCCACCA